rnacentral:rRNA from 1 species
AGCAGCAGCCGCGGUAACACGUAGGGUGCGAGCGUUAAUCGGAAUUACUGGGCGUAAAGCGUGCGCAGGCGGUCGUGUAAGACAGGUGUGAAAUCCCCGGGCUUAACCUGGGAACUGCGCUUGUGACUGCACAGCUAGAGUAUGGCAGAGGGGGGUGGAAUUCCACGUGUAGCAGUGAAAUGCGAAGAGAUGUGGAGGAACACCGAUGGCGAAGGCAGCCCCCUGGGCCAAUACUGACGCUCAUGCACGAAAGCGUGGGGAGCAAACAGGAUUAGAUACCCCUGUAGUCCCUGUCUCUUAUAC